rnacentral:lncRNA from 1 species
AAGUUGAAAUUGGAUCAGACCGGAUCGGACCACAUUUUUACUUAAACCUGAUCCGUAAUUCUUUUAUAGGCUUUGGACCAAACUUUGAUCUGAAAAUUUUUUAAAAUAUGAGGUCCGAGCCCAGCCUUGAUCCAAGCUCGAGCCAGAUCUACACCCAAUCGGACCGACCUGAUCCUAAUCGAUCUCUUUACCUCUACACUCCUUUCGUCUAAACCCAGAGAUGGCGACAGGUGAAGACUGAGGAUGCAAAGAUCGGUAUUGGUGAUUAUUGGUGACUCGAUGGGCAAAGAUGGAAGACCGAUGUUGCCGUGUUGACGAUGAUAGGUGGGGGAAGACAGAA